CCUUACCUGGCCUUGACAUACUAAGAACUUUCCAGAGAUGGAUUGGUGCCUUCGGGAACUUAGAUACAGGUGCUGCAUGGCUGUCGUCAGCUCGUGUCGUGAGAUGUUGGGUUAAGUCCCGCAACGAGCGCAACCCUUUUCCUUAUUUGCCAGCGGUUAAGCCGGGAACUUUAAGGAUACUGCCAGUGACAAACUGGAGGAAGGCGGGGACGACGUCAAGUCAUCAUGGCCCUUACGGCCAGGGCUACACACGUGCUACAAUGGUCGGUACAAAGGGUUGCUACCUCGCGAGAGGAUGCUAAUCUCAAAAAAGCCGAUCGUAGUCCGGAUCGCAGUCUGCAACUCGACUGCGUGAAGUCGGAAUCGCUAGUAAUCGCGGAUCAGAAUGCCGCGGUGAAUACGUUCCCGGGCCUUGUACACACCGCCCGUCACACCAUGGGAGUUUGUUGCACCAGAAGUAGGUAGUCUAACCGCAAGGAGGACGCUUACCACGGUGUGGCCGAUGACUGGGGUGAAGUCGUAACAAGGUAAGCGUAGAUGA
rnacentral:rRNA from 1 species